UUUGUACUCCCUUCGUUCGGAAUUAUUUGUCGUAAAAAUGAAUGUAUCUAGAUAUAUUUUAAUUCUAAAUACAUCUAUAUCCGAGAUAAAUAAUUCCGAAACAGAGGGAGUAUCAC
rnacentral:pre_miRNA from 1 species